AGUUUGAAAUGAAAGGUUCUAUCCCAGCCAUCACCAAAUGGCGGGCCGCGGUCCGAGUCCGGACGUGACGUGAUCCUAUCCGGACCCAGACCAUAAUAGCCUAAUUUAGAUUUUCACGUAAGAUUUCAAAGCUGCGCUAAAUGUUUCGUUGGUUAGGAUAACAGCAUUUACUUCAGGAGCUUCA